rnacentral:rRNA from 1 species
GAUGAACGCUGGCGGCGUGCCUAAUACAUGCAAGUCGAGCGAACAGAUGAGGAGCUUGCUCCUCUGACGUUAGCGGCGGACGGGUGAGUAACACGUGGAUAACCUACCUAUAAGACUGGGAUAACUUCGGGAAACCGGAGCUAAUACCGGAUAAUAUAUUGAACCGCAUGGUUCAAUAGUGAAAGACGGUUUUGCUGUCACUUAUAGAUGGAUCCGCGCCGCAUUAGCUAGUUGGUAAGGUAACGGCUUACCAAGGCAACGAUGCGUAGCCGACCUGAGAGGGUGAUCGGCCACACUGGAACUGAGACACGGUCCAGACUCCUACGGGAGGCAGCAGUAGGGAAUCUUCCGCAAUGGGCGAAAGCCUGACGGAGCAACGCCGCGUGAGUGAUGAAGGUCUUCGGCUCGUAAAACUCUGUUAUUAGGGAAGAACAAAUGUGUAAGUAACUAUGCACGUCUUGACGGCACCUAAUCAGAAAGCCACGGCUAACUACGUG